AUUGAACGCUGGCGGCAGGCCUAACACAUGCAAGUCGAGCGGAUGAAGGGAGCUUGCUCCUGGAUUCAGCGGCGGACGGGGGGGUAAUGCCUAGGAAUCUGCCUGGUAGGGGGGGAUAACGGCCGGAAACGGGCGCUAAUACCGCAUACGUCCUGAGGGAGAAAGGGGGGGGUCUUCGGAACCCACGCCCUCAGAUGAGCCUAGGUCGGAUUAGCUAGUUGGUGGGGUAAAGGCCUACCAAGGCGACGAUCCGUAACUGGUCUGAGAGGAUGAUCAGUCACACUGGAACUGAGACACGGUCCAGACUCCUACGGGAGGCAGCAGUGGGGAAUAUUGGACAAUGGGCGAAAGCCUGAUCCAGCCAUGCCGCGUGUGUGAAGAAGGUCUUCGGAUUGUAAAGCACUUUAAGUUGGGAGGAAGGGCAGUAAGUUAAUACCUUGCUGUUUUGACGUUACCAACAGAAUAAGCACCGGCUAACUUCGUG
rnacentral:rRNA from 1 species